GUGACUCAGUGGUAGAAUGCUUGCCUCAUAUGCAAGAAGCCCUGGGUUCAAUUUCUCAGC
rnacentral:tRNA from 1 species